rnacentral:lncRNA from 1 species
GAGUCAGCGUGGGAGGGCAUGUUCCCUCGUGGGACUGUGGUGUGGGGGGCUCUCUCCUCGCCUCUUCCAGCUUCCACAGGCUGCUGCACUCUUUGGCUCAUGUCCUCUUCCUUCAUCUUCAAAGCCAGUGGCAUAGCCUCUUCUCCCUCGGAUUCUGCUUCUAUUGUCACAUUGCAUUCUUGGUACAGCUGACCCUCCUGCCUCCCUGUUGUGAUUACAUUGGGUCUCCUGGGACAACCCAAGAUAAUCUUGCUAUCCCUAGAUCCUUAAAUCAAUCCUAUCUGCAAAAUCCCUAUUCCUGUGCAAGGUAAUGUGUUCAUAGGAGAGGAGCAUGUGGACUCUGUGACAGUUCAUCACUUGAACCUACCCCAUCCACCGUGACCCACAUUGUCCUGAGCAGCUUCAUUCAUGUUUGAUGCUAUAAUAGAGGAUAAAAAUAAUAGUGACUUAAACACAAGAGAGGUGUUUAACUCUCUCUCGUAGAUAAGUCCAGGCAUGCAGUCUAGGACAAGGAUGAUCUUCCAGACCCCCUUAACAUCAGGGACCCAGGCCCCUUCAAUUUUGAGGCUCUGUCAUUCUCACCAUGAAACUGUCUCAUGGCCUGAUGUGGCUGCUUCCACUCCCACCAUCAAAUCUGAAUUCCAGACAGCAGGAAGAUAGAUGAGAAAAAGUACUUUCCUCCCUUUCAAAGCCAAACCCAUGUGUAGCUGGCAUCAAGUCAGCUCACAUCCUGCUAUUCACGUGGCUGCCCUGAGCUACAAGGAAGUCUGGGAAGCAAAAUCCUUGACUAGCGCUACGUGUCUAAGAUGUUACUACAGAGGAGGAAGGGAGGACAAGACUUGGUCUCUCCAGGAAAGGUAAGAAGGCAGUGAGGGCUUCUGCCUGAAUUGAUGGACAUAAAGGAAUAGACCAAUCCAGGAUGCUCAGUAUGUGUUGUGAGCUGGGCUUAUCCACCCUGAAAGUACAAGGUCUACUCCGAGUGGGACAGACAGGCAGAAACAGCAAUGACAUCCCAUUGCCAUCCCAAUGACACCAGCUCAGCAUGGGGAGUGGCCAAGUGGAAAGAGCCUGCCCUCUAGAGCCAAGUAGACCGACUUGUAUUUGGGCACGUCCCCUUGAUAGACAUGUGAACCUCUCUGGGUCUGUUUCUUAUUAAAUAAAGAAGGACAAAUGGACUCUGGAGCUGUAUGAAGAAUCAAUGAAAUAGCUUUUGUGAAUAACCUAGCCCAGGGUCUGGCACAAAGCAGAUGCUCAGACAAUGGAACUAGGUGUCAUGUCCACCCACUCAAGGACGUUAGCUGCAGCCUUCCAGAUAUUACAGACAGACAGGUGUGAUUCAUAUCCUCUUGCCGGGGCCCCUCAGAGCAGAAGGUCUUUGAGAAAUGGCAGGAUGAUUCGGCUCCGUUAUCCUGCUAUAAUUUUUGUGUUUGGAAACU